GUGGGGAAUAUUGGUCAAUGGGCGCAAGCCUGAUCCAGCCAUGCCGCGUGAGUGAUGAAGGCCUUCGGGUUGUAAAGCUCUUUAGCCGAUGAUUAUAAUGACUGUAGUCGGAUAAUAAGCCCCGGCUAACUUCGUGCCAGCAGCCGCGGUAAUACGAAGGGGGCGAGCGUUAUUCGGAAUCACUGGGCGUAAAGCGUGCGUAGGCGGCUUUGCAAGUUGGGAGUGAAAGCCCAGGGCUCAACCCUGGAAUUGCUCUCAAAAGUGCAAGGCUCGAGUUCGGGGGAGGAUAGCGGAAUUGUCAGUGUAGCAGUGAAAUGAGUAGAUAUUGACAGGAACACCAGUGGCGUAAGCGGCUAUCUGGACCGAUAUUGACGCUGAGGCACGAAAGCGUGGGGAUCAAACAGGAUUAGAAACCACAGUAGUCC
rnacentral:rRNA from 1 species